rnacentral:lncRNA from 1 species
UGGCUAGUAGAUUAAAUUAAAAGGAUUCGGUAUCAAAAACUUUACUUUGUUUCUUUACUUGUUUUGAUUUUGACAUUAAAAAAAAAACAUAAGACCUAAAUAUUUAGUAUGAAGCCUUGGGAGAAGAUAGAAGCCUAAGGAUGAAAAUCUAAACUAGUAGGAGGCUAAUUGGAAGGGAUGAAAGCAAGGCAUGAUCGGAUAAAGGCAAGGAAUGGAAAACUUCAUCCCUAUUGGUCAAAUACUAUACCCAAUGGACUUUGAGGAGGCUGCCCGCGACCUUAACAAAGAAUUCGACGACUUCAAAGAGGGAAUUUGGAGAUUAAAAGCUAGGUUUGUAAAUUUUA